rnacentral:tRNA from 1 species
GCCGGCAUAGCUCAGCUGGUAGAGCGGCUGCCUUGUAAGCAGCAGGUCGGGAGUUCAAGCCUCUCUGCCGGCA